AGAAUUCAUUGGCUUCAGAGCCAAAAACCAACUGAAGAAGCAGAGACACACUCCAGAUAGCUGUAGAUUCAGACAGAUAGUUGCUUGAAAGCAGAAGCAGCUUUGAGAAUUAGCGACCAUGAAAACAGAGAAGAGUCAGCAAUGAAGAGGAGACCCUAGAAACCUAGCUGAGGAAUCUUCCCAGCCAAAGCAAGCUACAUGAGGACUCUAAAAGAAUUUAUUUUAUUCGGUUUGAUCUGUGUCUUCCCAUGGCUGCUGUGUGUAUUUGUAGGUGCUAUGAUGAUCCCCUGACUGGGUCUAAAAACUCCCAGACAUCUACAGCUAAUUUGAGGCACAGUGAGAUGACUGUAGAGGAUUUUCUUCUCCUGCGUCUUAAAAGUGCAUUUGCUAUUCCACAAACAAGACGGCCAUCUCCUGGCUCCAAGCUUUUUCUCUAACUGUCCCUCAUUCCUGAAAUGCCCUUUCUCUUCAUCUCUACCUCUUGUUUUCCUUGAUUUCUUUUGAGUACCAUCUAAAAUCUUAAUUUCUACCAAAAGCCAUUUCUAAUACCUUUCAUUUCAGAGCUUUCUCUCCUUUCAUUUCCCCCUACUUAUCCUAUCUGCAGCUUGUUAUCCAUAUCUAUUUGCUUGUUAUCUAUCAUUUGAUUGUGUACUCAUUGAGGGCAAUGACUGUCUUUUGCCUUUCUUUGUAACCCAAGGUCUUAGCACAGUGGCUGACACAUAGCAGGCCAUUAAAAAUAAAUGCUUAUUGAUUAUUUACUAUGGCAAGAAUAAAGAACAUUUUCUGUUGAGGACCAUUAGCCUGAUUGGGGAAAAAAUCAAUUUCAGUCCAUGUAAAUAAACAACUUAGUUUAUUUAUUUGAGAAAUGGGGAUGGGCAUGAGAAAGGAAAAUAUUCUAUUACUUUAUUGGAUUCAACAAGCCACAUGCAAAAUUAUUGCAUAAAUACAAUGAAAAAUUAAUUUUCCCAGUGUUUUAUUUUGGUCAAUUAUGCAAGAGAAAGAAACGUGAAGAAAACAGAUCGACACUGAAAAGCUAUACACAAAGAGAGUAAUUCAUAGACAGAUUCCUAUCCAUUGGUCUUUGAGGAUAUGAUAACCCACAAUUUUAAAACCUUAGGUAUAAAUAGAGGACAAUUGGCCCAUGAUGCUCUCCCCAACUCUCCACCAGAAACAAAUAAAUGUAAACUGCGUCUACUUACCAAAACCCCAAGUUCCCCAUUCUUCUAAUAUUUUAGACUCUCAAAUUACUUGGCCCAAGAUCCAUUCCCCAGCAGCUAAAUGGUCAAAAGAUAUGAACAGGUAAUUUCAAAGGAAAACAUCAAUGACAUUAAAAACUGCUUGAAAUCACUAAUAAUUAGGCAAAUUAAAACGACCGAAGAUCCACCUUAACAACUUAACAGUGAUGAGCAAGAAGGAAGAUAAAUUGAGAGGUUCUGCAGGAUAACAGGUCCUAGUGCACUAUUGGCAGAGCUGUGAAUUGGUCCAACUGUUCUGGAAAGCAAUUUGGACUAUGCUGAGAAAGUUAUCAGAUUAUACACACCCUUUGAGGGGAAGGGAAAAGAAUAAGCAUUUUUAUGGAACCUACUAUGUGCCAGACACUGUAUUAAGCACUUUACAAAUUCUCUUCCAUUUGUUCCUCUCAACAACUCUGUGGAGUUUGACUAGUCAUUUUCAGUUAUAUCCUACUGGAGUCUUCUUGGCAAAGACAUUGGGAGUUACUUGCCAUUUCCUUCUCCAGCUCAUUUUACAGACAGAACUGAGACAAGCAUGUUAAGUGACUUGCCCAGGGUCACAAAGCUAGUUAAGCGUCUGAGGCCAGAUUCAUACAAAGGAAUAUGAGUCUCCCUCACUCCAGGCCAGACUCUUAAACACCUACCUGCCCUCUCAAUGAAGGAGAUGCUGCUAUUAUCCCCAUUUUACAGUUGAGGAAACUGAGGUAAACAAGUGACUUGCCCAGGGUCUCACACCCAUCAAGUGUUAGAAAUCAUAUUUGAAUGGAGGUCUUCCUGACUGAGUCCAGGCUUCUAUCCACUUCCACUUUAGUUGCCUUUAAUUCAGUUUUAACAUAAGUAAGUCUAUAACCCAAAGAAAUCAAAGAAUAAAAGGAUCUAUAUUUGUAGAAAUAUAUAGUGGUUCUUGCUGUGGUAAUGAAAAAAAAAAAACUUAACAUAUGUAUAACCCAGUAGAAUUGCUUGUCAACUCUGAGAGAGGGGACAGAGACAACAAGAAUGACAUAACUAUGGGGAAAAAUUAAAACAUAAAAAAAAAAUUAAAAAUAAAUCUAAAAAAAUAAAAGCAAAGGGGAUGUUUUCUUAUUGGUAAAUAGCUAAACAAAUUGUGAUAUAGGGACAUAAUGGAAUAUUAUUGUGCCAUUUGAGUAAAUGGGCAAUUUUGUUUUUUUAAUUUUAUUUUUAUAUAAGCCCUUACCUUCCGUCUUGGAGUCAAUACUGUGUUUUGGCUCCAAGGCAGAAGAGUGGUAAGGGCUAGGCAAUGGGGGUCAAGGGCCUUGCCCAGGGUCACCCAGCUGGGAAGUGUCUGAGGUCACAUUUGAACCCAGGACCUCAUAUCUCUAGGCCUGACUCUCAAUCCACUGAGCCAUCCAGCUGCCCCUUAAAUGGGCAAUUUUAGAGGAAACUGGGAAGACCUCAGUGAAUAGAUCCAAAGUGAAAAGAAAUAGGUCAGUUUAUACAAUGAUGGCCUUUUAGAGAAAAACAACUUUAAAAGACUUUAGAACUCUGAUCAAUGAAAUGAUAAACAACAAAGACAAAAAAUGAAAAUGAAACAAACUCUUCACCUCCUGACAAAAUAAUUAGGAACUUAAGAUGAAGUGAGAGACUUUUGUUUUUGAGCUAUGGAUGAUAAAUAGGAAUUUUUCUUUUCAGACUGUAACUUUGUGCUGAAAGAUUUAUUGUGGGUGUUUGCUUUUUAAAAAAUCACU